GGGCAAGCGUUAUCCGGAUUUACUGGGUGUAAAGGGAGCGUAGACGGUUGUGCAAGCCUGGAGUGAAAGGCGGGGGCCCAACCCCCGGACUGCUCUGGGAACUGUCUGGCUGGAGUGCAGGAGGGGUAAGUGGAAUUCCUAGUGUAGCGGUGAAAUGCGUAGAUAUUAGGAGGAACACCAGUGGCGAAGGCGGCUUACUGGACUGUAACUGACGUUGAGGCUCGAAAGCGUGGGGAGCAAA
rnacentral:rRNA from 1 species